UACGGAGGGGACUAGCGUUGUUCGGAAUUACUGGGCGUAAAGCGCACGUAGGCGGAUUUGUAAGUCAGGGGUGAAAUCCCGGGGCUCAACCUCGGAACUGCCUUUGAUACUGCAAAUCUCGAGUCCGGAAGAGGUGAGUGGAAUUCCUAGUGUAGAGGUGAAAUUCGUAGAUAUUAGGAGGAACACCAGCGGCGAAGGCGGCGCUCUGGGCUGGCACUGACGCUGAGGAGCGAAAGCGUGGGGAGCGAACAGG
rnacentral:rRNA from 1 species